rnacentral:rRNA from 1 species
AGUGAACGCUGGCGGCAGGCCUAACACAUGCAAGUCGAACGGCAGCACAGUAAGAGCUUGCUCUUACGGGUGGCGAGUGGCGGACGGGUGAGGAAUACAUCGGAAUCUACUUUUUCGUGGGGGAUAACGUAGGGACACUUACGCUAAUACCGCAUACGACCUACGGGUGAAAGCAGGGGAUCUUCGGACCUUGCGCGAUUGAAUGAGCCGAUGUCGGAUUAGCUAGUUGGCGGGGUAAAGGCCCACCAAGGCGACGAUCCGUAGCUGGUCUGAGAGGAUGAUCAGCCACACUGGAACUGAGACACGGUCCAGACUCCUACGGGAGGCAGCAGUGGGGAAUAUUGGACAAUGGGCGCAAGCCUGAUCCAGCCAUACCGCGUGGGUGAAGAAGGCCUUCGGGUUGUAAAGCCCUUUUGUUGGGAAAGAAAAGCAGCAGGUUAAUACCCCGCUGUUCUGACGGUACCCAAAGAAUAAGCACCGGCUAACUUCGUG